CACCUCUCGGGGUUGCACCUGGCGAGUUUCCAGGACUCUACCAGCCUCGACUAUGGGAGGGAGAGUCAAGCAGAUGCAUAUCCAUUCCAUUCCUAGCUUGAACAGUGGCUAGCAAGUGAAAGGCAAUCUGCAGCAAGA
rfam:Ornithorhynchus anatinus chromosome X2, whole genome shotgun sequence.